CCUUAACCCCUUAACACUGACCUGCAAUACCACAUGUCCAUCAGGCAUCCAAUAAGAGUCUUCCAAAGAUGACGUGACAUUAUACUUGUACCAACUUCCUUUUGUUUUUGUGUUUUGUAGUUAGAUUCAUGAGUGCAAUCACUGCUAUCUGGAAACAACUUGUGGAUUAAUUGAUUUUCCAAUGCAGAUGUCAUGAAAAGGAAUCCUACCACAUGAAGAAACAGUACAGGCCUGCAGUUGAGGUGAUGGCUUUCUUUGGAGAUUUCUCCAAGCAAAAACAGGAUCCUGAAUAUGAGGGCAGAAUCAUCAUACAGCCAGCUGUCCGUUUUACAGAAAUGCAGAAUUAGGUUCCUUCAGAUCUUUGUGGCACCAAAUGCAUUGAAAGUCACAGGUCAGCUGGAAUUCUGGAAAGAAGGUGCAAAGAAAAAGGAUCUGCCUGAAUUCCAGAGAGCUUGUCAACUUUGACUGUC